AUAGCCGUCCACCGUUCAACCUGCGUGUUUCCUUUUCGUUAGCAAUAGGGCGAUGGAGCGAGCAGCGGAGGCGGCGAUCCGCGCGAAGGUGAAGCAGCUGCGCGAGGCGAUACACAGCAGCGAGGCGAUCCUCGAGGAGGCUGCCGUGAUAGGCACUUCCCUGAGCAGCCACAAGGCCGCCAUUGAUGGCGCCAUCCGCCCUGCCAAGAAGAGGACGCACAUGGCGUGCAGGGCGCACGACAACGUCAGGAGGAGCCUCAGGGCGGCCGGGACGAUCUUGCGGCACGUCGACCUUGUUAGCGAGGCAGAGCAUGUGAUAUUAUUGGACAGGCUGAAUGAGGAUCUUAAUACCUAUCUUGAGGCAGUUGAUAAAUUGAGAAGUGCCAAAUACUUUUUUACUUCCAAGAGAAGCUGUAGAGAUGGUAAUGACGUUCGUGAACAUGUUAAUGAAUUGCUUUCUAAAGCAGUCCAUGGGUUGGAGAAUGAAUUCCAGAGGCUGUUAACCAAAUGCAGCAAACCUGUAGAGUUUGAGCAUAUUUUCAACUGUCUUCCAAGUUUGGAUCAGCAAUUGUCAAGUCAGAACCUUAUUGGCCCAUCAGCUGAUGGUUACUCUGAAGCACAGCUAAAUCAGUAUGAUUUGUGCACUCUUCCUACACUCAUUGAUCCAUGUUACUUGACUUUGCUCUCAAAGUUAUCACAGAAAUCGGUUCAACUUGAUUGCCACCAGAAGUUUAUGGAAAUAUACAGAGAAAUUCGGGGUUCAACUUUGGAACAAAGUCUUAAGAACUUGGGAGUUGAAUAUGUUACAAAAGAAGAAGUGCAGCAUGUUCAGGCUCAGACCUUGGAUGCUAAAAUUCACCACUGGAGACAGUCCUUCCGAAUUACUGUAAAGUUGCUUUUUGGUAGUGAAUGCAUGCUGUGUGAUCAAGUAUUUGGAAGAAAGUGUACAUGGAAGGAUAAUUGUUUUGCUGAAGUAACAACAAAAAGCCUUUCGACUCUACUCAGUUUCGGAGAGGCUGUUGUUCAAUCCCAAACAUCGCCAGAUAAAUUAGGUGUACUUCUAGAUAUGUAUGAAGCCACAUCGGAACUUCAACCUGAGGUUGAGGCAAUCUUUGUGGGUAAUGCAUGCUCUGAAAACCGGAAAUCUGCCCUUGCUUUGAUUAAAAGCCUCUCACAGACUGUGAAAAAUACAUUAGGUGACUUCAUGGAAUACAUUGUGAAUCACUCGGCAAUGAGUAUGACUGUUGAUGGGGCUGUGCAUCCUCUGACCAGCUAUGUUACUGAUCAUAUCAAAAUUCAUUUUAAGUAUCAACCAUUGCUAAAGCAGAUCUUUGGAGAGUCCUGUGUUGGAGAUCGAAAAGAUACCGAUGUGACCUCUCAACUUUUUGGUGUUAUACAUGCUCUGGAGACCAAUCUAGCUACGAAAGCAAAGCAAUACAAGGACCUUUCUCUGGAGCACCUUUUCUUAAUGAAUAACAUCCAUUAUAUUGUCAAGUCUAUCCACAGAUUAGAAGCAAAGGAUUUAUUUGGCGCUGAUUGGAUUGAGAGACAACGGAGGAUUGUGCAACAGCAGGCUACUCAAUAUAGAAGAAUCGCGUGGCUAAAGGUAGUGGAGUCCCUAUCAACUCAAGGUUAUAUUUCACUAGUAGGAUAUUCUACUGAUGCUACUCAAGGAAGUUUUAGUUUUAGAAAUAUUAAGAGCAGUGCAACCUCCAGAUCUGUGAUCAAGGAGAGAUUCAAACGUUUCAACAUGCGAUUUGAAGAAACUUUCCAAACACAGAUAAAUUGGGAUGUCCCCGACAGAGAUUUACGAGAAACCUUAAUUCUUACGAUUGCUGAAAUAUUGUUACCUGCUUACAGAUCUUUUCUGAAACAUUUUGGGCCUCUUGUUGAGAACAGCCCUGGCGCUUUAAAAUAUAUGAAGUAUACUCCAGAAUCACUUGAGCAAGCCCUUGGUAAUCUAUUUGCAAAGAAAUUACGAAGUGAUCAGGCCACCACGAAUUCCGAUGGCAACAAGCAUCCCGCUUAACUGCUUGACUCCUGUAGAAGUCAUCGAACAGGGCAGCAGGCUCCCCAGCCUUGUUCAGAAUUUGCCAUCGUUAAAGAGCAUGGAAAGCACGAGGUAUAUUUUGCUAUGUCAACUGAGCACAGCAGCACAGGCUACCGGAGAGCCGGUUGGCGCCGACGUAGAUAUGUGUAAGCCUGGAGCAGCCCUAGCACGGCCAGCCGCUGCCGCCGCCGCCGCAAAGAGAGGAAGAUGAGAGAGAGGAGAGCAUGAGAGAGAAAAAGAAGAGAAAGAAAAAAAAUGAAAAAAAAAGUCACGUGAGGCCCACCACACGCCACGUCAGCGAAACCAGCUAAAAAUUGGAGUCAAUACUACCAGGGAGCAUUCCUUGAACGGUUUAUGUAAGUUUAGGGAUAUACAUUUCUGGUUUUAGAGUUAAAGGACAUAAGACAUAUUCAACGUUAAGUUAAGGGAUCUACGAUGAACUUAUUCCCAACUUGAUAAG